rnacentral:rRNA from 1 species
UCGCUCCUACCGAUUUCGGGUGGUCCGGUGAACCCUUUGGACCUACCUUUGGCCUUGAGCCACUAACUGGGAAGUCGAGUAAACCACAUCACCUAGAGGAAGGAG